GAUAGCUUUUCCCCAGUGUAUAAAGCUGGGAGAAUAAGGAGAGGGCAAGCCUGGUGUCAGCCGCCGCGGUAAUACCAGCUCUCCGAGUGGUGGGGAUGUUUAUUGGGCCUAAAGCAUUCGUAGCCUGCUAGCCAAGUCCUCCGUUAAAUCCACCGAUUCAAUCGUUGGGCUGCGGGGGAUACUGUCUAGCUAGGGGGCGGAAGAGGCCGACGGUAUCCCCGGGGUAGGGGUGAAAUCCUAUAAUCCCGGGUGGACCACCAGUGGCGAAGGCUGUCGGCUAGAACGCGCUCGACGGUGAGGGAUGAAAGCUGGGGGAGCGAACCGGAUUAGAUACCCGGGUAGUCCCAGCUGUAAACGAUGCAGGCUAGGUGUUGGCGCGGCUACGUGCCGCUCCAGUGCCGCAGGGAAGCCGUUAAGCCUGCCGCCUGGGAAGUACGGCCGCAAGGCUGAAACUUAA
rnacentral:rRNA from 1 species